rnacentral:ncRNA from 1 species
AAGACCGUCAAAUUGCGGGGACGCGUUGCCAGGCCGUCGGUAGGGCCUUGUCGGGGAAACCCGUCAAGGCACCCGGGCUAAUCACCCGGGGUAUCCUAAGAACCCGACGGAUAGACGCUAUCCGCAGCCAAGUCCUAAGUGCCUGAUCCAGGCAUACGGAUGCAGUUCACAGACUAAAUGUCGGUCGGGAGCCGCUCGGCUCCUUAAGGUAUAGUCGGACCGCACCGAGAGGUGUCC